AGUUUACCCCACUGAAUAAGCAUAUCAAUAAGCGGAGGAAAAGAAACCAACAGGGAUUGCCCUAGUAACGGCGAGUGAAGCGGCAACAGCUCAAAUUUGAAAUCUGGCUCUUUCAGAGUCCGAGUUGUAAUUUGCAGAGGGCGCUUUGGCUUUGGCAGCGGUCCAAGUUCCUUGGAACAGGACGUCACAGAGGGUGAGAAUCCCGUACGUGGUCGCUAGCUAUUGCCGUGUAAAGCCCCUUCGACGAGUCGAGUUGUUUGGGAAUGCAGCUCUAAAUGGGAGGUAAAUUUCUUCUAAAGCUAAAUAUUGGCCAGAGACCGAUAGCGCACAAGUAGAGUGAUCGAAAGAUGAAAAGCACUUUGGAAAGAGAGUCAAACAGCACGUGAAAUUGUUGAAAGGGAAGCGCUUGCAGCCAGACUUGCUUGCAGUUGCUCAUCCGGGCUUUUGCCCGGUGCACUCUUCUGUAGGCAGGCCAGCAUCAGUUUGGGCGGUGGGAUAAAGGUCUCUGUCACGUACCUCUCUUCGGGGAGGCCUUAUAGGGGAGACGACAUACCACCAGCCUAGACUGAGGUCCGCGCAUCUGCUAGGAUGCUGGCGUAAUGGCUGUAAGCGGCCCGUCUUGAACAAACGGACC
rnacentral:rRNA from 1 species